rfam:Schistosoma haematobium scaffold627_8, whole genome shotgun sequence.
ACCUUUCUGAAUCCGUAUAGAAAUUUCGUCAGACACCAAUCCACUAGGGCUGAUCAGACUUCCAAGAUAAGUGAAGUU